GUCUUUCAAGUCCGAUGCUAAAGACUGGGGCUCAACCCCAGGGGUGCGUUGGAUACUGUGAGGCUAGACGGUCGGAGGGGGUAGCGGAAUUUCCGGAGUAGCGGUGAAAUGCGCAGAUACCGGAAGGAACGCCAAUAGCGAAGGCAGCUACCUGGACGACUUGUGACGCUGAGGCGCGAAAGCGUGGGGAGCAAACCGGAUUAGAUACCCGGGUAGUCCACGCCCUAAACCAUGAGUGCUGGGUGUCCGGCUUCUGCUGGGUGCCGUAGCUAACGCGCUAAGCACUCCGCCUGGGAAGUACGCACGCAAGUGUGAAACUCAAAGGAAUUGACGGGGGCCCGCACAAGCGGUGGAGCAUGUGGUUUAAUUCGAAGCGACGCGAAGAACCUUACCAGGCCUUGACAUGCCCGGAACCCCUCUGAAAGGAGGGGGUGCCCGCAAGGGAGCCGGGACACAGGUGCUGCAUGGCCGUCGUCAGCUCGUGUCGUGAGAUGUUGGGUUAAGUCCCGCAACGAGCGCAACCCCUAUCCCUAGUUGCCAGCAGUUCGGCUGGGCACUCUAUGGAGACUGCCUGCGAAAGCAGGAGGAAGGCGGGGAUGACGUCUGGUCCGCAUGGCCCUUACGGCCUGGGCGACACACGUGCUACAAUGCCAAGGACAGAGCGCUGCUACCUCGCGAGAGGACGCCAAUCGCAAAAACCUUGGCUCAGUUCGGAUUGGAGUCUGCAAC
rnacentral:rRNA from 1 species